UGGUGGAGUGAUUUGUCUGGUUAAUUCCGUUAACGAACGAGACCUCGACCUGCUAAAUAGUCACAGGGUAUUCUUGCGAUACAAACUGUACUUCUUAGAGGGACUAUCAGUUGGUGUACCUGAUGGAAGUUCGAGGCAAUAACA
rnacentral:rRNA from 1 species